rnacentral:rRNA from 1 species
AGUACAGACGAGUUUGAUCCUGGCUCAGAGCGAACGCUAGCGGCGGGCUUAACACAUGCAAGUCGGGCGGAGAGCUUCGGCUCUCAGCGGCGAACGGGUGAGUAACACGUAGGUCACGUACCCUUUGAUGGGGAAUAACCUAGGGAAACCUGGGCUAAUACCGCAUAUGUCCUUCGGGAUGAAAGCCUUCGGGCGUCAGAGGAUCGGCCUGCGGCCCAUUAUUUAAUCCUAGUUGGUAGGGUAAUGGCCUACCAAGGGUACGAUGGGUAGCUGGUCUGAGAGGAUGAUCAGCCACACUGGAACUGAGACACGGUUCAGACUCCUACGGGAGGCAGCAGUGGGGAAUAUUGGACAAUGGGCGAAAGCCUGAUCCAGCCACGCCGCGUGGGUGAUGAAGGCCUUCGGGUUGUAAAGCCCUGUCGGGAGGGACGAAUCAAUGACGGUACCUCCCAAGAAAGCACCGGCUAACUCCGUG